GUGCUCAUUUUUAAAGCACAUAUACAUAUAUGGUACAGAGAAGUUUAGCAUGGCCUAUAUGCAAGGAUGACAUGCAAAUUCAUGAAGCAUUCCAUAUGAAA
ensembl:snRNA U6 U6 spliceosomal RNA